GAUGAAGAACGCAGCGAAAUGCGAUACGUAAUGUGAAUUGCAAAUUCAGUGAAUCAUCGAGUCUUUGAACGCACAUUGCGCCCCCUGUUAUUCCGGGGGGCAUGCCUGUCCGAGCGUCAUUGCGGCCCUCAAGCACGGCUUGUGUGUUGGGCCCCGUCCUCCGAUCCCGGGGGACGGGCCCGAAAGGCAGCGGCGGCACCGCGUCCGGUCCUCGAGCGUAUGGGGCUUUGUCACCCGCUCUGUAGGCCCGGCCGGCGCUUGCCGAUCAACCCAAAUUUUUAUCCAGGUUGACCUCGGAGCAGGUAGGGAUACCCGCUGAACUUAAGCAUAUCAAUAAGCGGAGGA
rnacentral:misc_RNA from 1 species